AGAGUUUGAUCCUGGCUCAGGAUGAACGCUAGCUACAGGCUUAACACAUGCAAGUCGCGGGGCAGCAUGGGGGUUGCUUGCAACCCCUGAUGGCGACCGGCGCACGGGUGAGUAACGCGUAUCCAACCUGCCCUUCACCACGGGAUAACCCGGCGAAAGUCGGACUAAUACCGUAUGUUGUCCAUUGACGGCAUCCGAUUUGGACGAAAGGCUUAGCGGUGAGGGAUGGGGAUGCGUCCGAUUAGCUUGACGGCGGGGUAACGGCCCACCGUGGCUACGAUCGGUAGGGGUUCUGAGAGGAAGGUCCCCCACACUGGAACUGAGACACGGUCCAGACUCCUACGGGAGGCAGCAGUGAGGAAUAUUGGUCAAUGGACGAGAGUCUGAACCAGCCAAGUAGCGUGCAGGAUGACGGCCCUAUGGGUUGUAAACUGCUUUUAUGCGGGGAUAAAGGGGCUCACGUGUGGGCUUUUGCAGGUACCGCAUGAAUAAGGACCGGCUAAUUCCGUGCCAGCAGCCGCGGUAAUACGGAAGGUCCGGGCGUUAUCCGGAUUUAUUGGGUUUAAAGGGAGCGUAGGCCGCCCCUUAAGCGUGUUGUGAAAUGCGGGUGCUCAACAUCCGACUUGCAGCGCGAACUGGGGGGCUUGAGUGCGCCGAAAGUAGGCGGAAUUCGUGGUGUAGCGGUGAAAUGCUUAGAUAUCACGAAGAACUCCGAUUGCGAAGGCAGCUUACUGUAGCGCAACUGACGCUGAUGCUCGAAAGCGUGGGUAUCGAACAGGAUUAGAUACCCUGGUAGUCCACGCGGUAAACGAUGGAUGCUCGUUGUCGGCCUUUGUGGUCGGUGACCAAGCGAAAGCGUUAAGCAUCCCACCUGGGGAGUACGCCGGCAACGGUGAAACUCAAAGGAAUUGACGGGGGCCCG
rnacentral:rRNA from 1 species